GGCUGGGUGGCAGAGUGGCUAUGCAGCGGAUUGCAAAUCCGUGGACCUCGGUUCGACUCCGGGCCUAGCCUCCA
rnacentral:tRNA from 1 species